rnacentral:rRNA from 1 species
AUUCCAAUUCCAAGAAUCAAAAUUUCAAAACAAUUGAGACUUUUUUGGAGAUUGGAUGCAAUUACUAAUUCAUGAUCUGGCAUGUACAAAAUGAAAACUUCAAUCUAGAUUCUACAAGAUUAUUUAUGAAAGAGUUUCAUUUUCAUUUCUUCCAUGGAAGUUUUAUUAUCCCAGAAUGUAUCCUAAUUUUGGGCCUAAUUCUUCUUCUGAUAAUUGAUUCAGCCUCUGAUAAAAAAGAUAUACCUUGGUUAUAUUUCAUCUUUUCAACAAGUUUAGUAACGAGCAUAGCGACCCUAUUAUCUUUGACACAUUUUUAUGAGAUUAUAAAAUAUGGCAAAACCUAUAUCAAGAACUAGUUUACGUAACUAUGUGCGUCUUAUUUUCAAUGGAGCGGUGAAAUGCACUGAGAUCGGAAAGAACACCAAAGGUGAAAGCACUCUGCUGGAUCGACACUGACAGACAAAAGCUAGGGGAGCGAAUGGGAUUAGAUACCCCAGUAGUCCUAGCCGUAAACGAUGGAUACUAAGUGUUGUGCGUAUUGACCCGUGCAGUGUUGUAGCUAACGCGUUAACUAUCCCGCAUGGGGAGUAUGUUCGCAAGAAUGAAACUCAAAGGAAUUGACGGGGGCCUGCACAAGCGGUUGAACAUGUGGUUUAAUUCAAUGCAAAGCAAAGAACCUUACCAGGGCUUGACAUGUCGCGAAUCCUCUUGAAAGAAAAGGGUGCCUUCGGGAACGCGGAUAUAGGUGGUGCAUGGCUAUCGUCAGCUUGUGUCGUAAGGUGUUGGGUUAAGUCCCGCAACUAGCGCAACCCUUCUGUUUAGUUGCCACUGUUGAGUUUGGAACCCUGAACAGAUUGUCGGUGAUAAGUCGGAAGAAGGUGAGGAUGACGUCAAGUCAUCAUGCCCCUUAUGCCCUAGGCGACACACGUGCUACCAUGGCCGAGACAAAGUGAGCUUACCCAAAAACCCGUCCUCAAUUCGAAUUGCAGACUGCAACUCACCUGCAUGAAGCCGAAAUUGCUAGUAAUCGCCGGUCAGCCAUACGGCGGUGAAUUCGUUCUCGGGCCUUGUACACACCGCCUGUAAUUGAACUCGAUUUGGAGCUCGUUCUCAGCACAUGCAUAUUCAUUUAGUUGUAUAGAUAAAUAACUAUGCAUAUUGGAUCCCAAGCAACAACACAAUCU